rfam:Stegodyphus mimosarum contig24727, whole genome shotgun sequence.
GCCUUCGUGGUGUAAUGGUCAGCACACUGAGCCGGUAUUUCAGAGGUCCGCGGUUCGAUCCCCGGCGAAGGAA